GAGAAGCUUCGACUAAGGUUCGAUUCGAGCGCAGCGAGAAAGCGUUGCCGCAGGCAACGACCCGAAGGGCGAAGG
rnacentral:sRNA from 1 species